CCCUUGUCUAUCUGUACCUGUUGCUUCGGCGGGCCCGCAGUCAUGCCGCUGGGGGUUCGCUCCUGGCCCGCGCCCGCCGAAGACACCGAACUUCUAGUUAAGAUUGUCGUCUGAAUGUUAUAACUAAAAUCGUUAAAACUUUCAACAACGGAUCUCUUGGUUCCGACAUCGAUGAAGAACGCAGCGAAAUGCGAUAAGUAAUGUGAAUUGCAGAAUUCCGUGAAUCAUCGAAUCUUUGAACGCACAUUGCGCCCUCUGGUAUUCCGGGGGGCAUGCCUGUCCGAGCGUCAUUGCAACCCUCAAGCGCGGCUUGUGUGUUGGGCCUUCGUCCCCCCGUGGACGUGCCCGAAAUGCAGUGGCGGCGUCGUGUUCCGGUGCCCGAGCGUAUGGGGCUUCGUCACCCGCUCAUAGAGGCCCGGCCGGCCCCGGCCAACCAUUAUCGAGGAACCCCGUUCCUCAAACUCAGGUUGACCUCGGAUCAGGUAGGGAUACCCGCUGAACUUAAGCAUAUCAAUAAGCGGAGGA
rnacentral:rRNA from 1 species